rnacentral:tRNA from 1 species
GAGGUUGUGGCUCAGUGGUAGAGUGGUCACCUUGCAUGUGCGAAGCACUGGCUUCGAUCCUCAGCACCACA